rnacentral:rRNA from 1 species
GUAGUCCUGGCUGUAAACGCUGCCCACUUGGUGUUGCCCUUUCCUUGGGAAGGGGCAGUGCCGGAGCGAAGGUGUUAAGUGGGCUGCUUGGGGAGUAUGGUCGCAAGGCUGAAACUUAAAGGAAUUGGCGGGAGAGCACCGCAACGGGAGGAGCGUGCGGUUUAAUUGGAUUCAACGCCGGAAAACUCACCAGGGGAGACCAUGGUAUGAGUGUCAGCCUGAAGAGCUUACACGACCACAUGGAGAGGUGGUGCAUGGCCGUCGUCAGCUCGUACCGUAGAGCGUUCACUUAAGUGUGAUAACGAGCGAGACCCUUGCCCAUAUUUGCCACCUUCCUCGAGAGAGGAAGAGCACUAUAUGGGGACCGCUAGCGUUAAGCUAGAGGAAGGAGAGGUCAACGGCAGGUCAGUAUGCCCCGAAUCCCCUGGGCAACACGCGCGCUACAAAGGACGGAACAAUGGGUUGCAACUUCGAAAGGAGGAGCUAAUCCCGAAAUCCGUCCGUAGUUCAGACUGAGGGCUGUAAUUCGCCCUCACGAAGCUGGAUUCCGUAGUAAUCGCGGAUCAACAGUCCGCGGUGAAUAUGCCCCUGCUCUUUGCACACACCGCCUGUCAAGCCAUCCGAGUUGGUUUUGGAUGAGGGCCCACUUUUUGGUGGGUUCGAAUCCAAGAUCGAUGAGGAGGGCUAAGUCAUAACAAGGUAUCCGUAGGGGAACCUGCGGCUGGAUCACCUCC